rnacentral:rRNA from 1 species
AGCUAAUAGAUACCCAGGUAGUCCUGGCCCUAAACGCUGCUCGCUCGUUCUACGGAGUAUCGACCCUCUGUGGGACUAAAGCUAACGCGGUAAGCGAGCCGCCUGGGUAGUACGAUCGCAAGAUUAAAACUCAAAGGAAUAGACGGGGACUCGCACAAGCGGUGGAUCAUGUGGCUUAAUUCGUAGCUAAGCGAAGAACCUUACCCGGGCUAGAAACCAAGCUGCAUCCAACCCGAAAGGGAUGGAGCCUUCGAGGGUGCUUGGCAGGUGAUGCAUGGUUGUCGUCAGUUCGUGGCUUGAGCUGUUCCCUUCAGUGGGGUAACGAACGCAACCCUUAUUGUCUGUUACUUAUGUCAGGCGAGACUGCCCCCUCACGGGGGAGGAAGGUGGGGAUGACGCCAAAUCAGCAUGUCCCUUGAUGCCCGGGGCUGCACACGUGAUACAAUGGGUGGUACAGAAGGACGCAAUCCCGUAAGGAGGAGCAAAUCCCAAAAACCACCCCACGUUCGGAUUGAGGUCUGCAACCGACCUCAUGAAGCCGGAAGUC